AUGAUCACCUCGACAAGGUGCUGGGACGGGUGCAGGUGCCUGUGCCAGUGUUGGUGUCGCGGUUGGCGUCGGUGCAGGUAUCGCUGUCGGCCCCGGUCCCAUUGCUGGUGCCGGUGCCGGUCCCAUUGCCGGUCCCAUUGCCGGUGCCGGUCCCAUUGCCGGUCCCAUUGCUGGUGCCGGUCCCAUUGCCAGUGUCGGUGCCGGUCCCAUUGCCGGUGUCGGUGCCGGUCCCAUUGCCGGUGUCGGUGCCGGUCCCAUUGCCGGUGUCGGUGCCGGUCCCAUUGCCGGUCCCUGUCCCAUUGCCGGUCCCAUUGCCGGUCCCGGUCCCAUUGCCGGUCCCAUUGCCGGUGUCGGUCCCAUUGCCGGUCCCAUUGCCGGUCCCAUUGCCGGUCCCAUUGCCGGUCCCAUUGCCGGUGCCGGUGCCGGCAGCGCCCCGGGGUCCCGGGCCGAGCGGGGCGAGGCGGCCCCGGCGGGCGGAGCGGCAGCGCCCCCUGCUGGCCCCGCCCGGCCCCGCCCGCGGCGGUUCGUGCCCGGCCGCAGCCCCGGCUCCUCUGCCCGUGGGCCCAGCGCGCAGUAAUACACGGCCGCGUCCCCGCGCCGGGGCCCACCGAGCCGCAGCGCGCUCCAGCGCCGGUCUGCCGACACCCACAGCUGGCCCAGAUUGUCCGGCAGCUCUUUGGAAUCUCUCACUGUGAGUGCGAGGAAUUCAGGUCCUUGGCCAGGGAGCUGACGGUACCAGUGGAUGUAAUCGCCAGUCUGGAUUUUGGGAUGUGAGCAGGUGAUGUUGAUGCUGGUGCCCUCGGUGGUCUCCAGUGACGGCUCCUGCUGCACCUGAGCUCUGGCCACAGUCCCUGCCAGGAAAAAGAAGAAUCAGUUUUGUUUUACAGAAAAUGCCUUGCAGGGGGGGAUGGGAGAGGACAGAUCAGAGCUAAAUGGGAUAUGUCCUGGUAAUAAAGUAUGGAGAGCUAAUUGCACUGAGAGUGUUUGUCUGAGGACAAGAAUCUGUGAGGGGUGUUUUGAAGAAAAAUCAGACCGAAGUUACAAAAACAGACCAGGUGGGAAGGAGGGAGACAUGGAGUAAAAAAGGAAAAAGGGGACUCAAAACCUUCAUGGAGGGAAGAAAGUAUCACGACGGAGGAGAGAACAGAGGGUAAAUAAGAACCGAAAAGGAACAUGAGGAUAAGAGAAGAAUCUUGGGCUAGGCGGUAUCACGUAGUCCCCUGACCCAGAAAACCCCGGCCGCCAACGCAACGCACCGAGCAGCACCGCGGCCAGCGCCGCCAGCCCCGCGCCCCGACACCGCCGCAUGCCGCCGCUCCGCCGGCCUAACAUCGUUGUCCUGUCCUGUCCUGUCCUGUCCUGUCCUGUCCUGUCCUGUCCUCUCCUCUCCUCUCCUCUCCUCUCCUCCCCUCCCCUCCUCUCCCCUCCCCAACGCCGCCAGCUCCGCCCCGGCCCGAAUCAGCCCCCGCCUCUCCCCGCACCAGCACCUUCAGCAGCGACACCAGGACGUUUGGCACGGCCAGCGACAAGAGACAGCUGUGUCCCAUCGCACACAGCAGCCACACCGCGUGGGAAGCAGAUCCACCCUGCAGCCAUCUGCAGCGGGCAGUGCCGGCCCCGCUCGGCUGCGCUCAGGCUCUGUGGGAGCCUGGGAAGCUGCUGCUCUGUGCUCUGCAGGGCCACAGCGGUGCUCGGGGCCUGGCAGAGGCAGAAAAUUCCCUCCCGGUGAGGGACACACACGGACACAGCCAGGGCCGAGCUCAGCACGGUGGAGCCACAGACAAAUCCGUGCUUGCCGUGUGUCCGUGCAAACGGGGCUGCUCCGAGAGCUCACAAGGCAGGAACACACAACCAGCCCUGGGCUCUGCUGAGGACAUGUGGGGCCAAAAGCAGCAGGGCUGGAGUGUGGAAGGAUAAGAUUCCAGGAAAACACAGGGGAUACUUUUUUUUAUUAGGGACUGCCCAAUGUGGAAAUGAGUCAAAAUAGUCCAAAAAAAUGUCCACUAGGGACAUUUUGUGUAUGGAC
ensembl:lncRNA